AGAGUUUGAUCCUGGCUCAGAUUGAACGCUGGCGGCAUGCCUUACACAUGCAAGUCGAACGGCAGCACGGGGGCAACCCUGGUGGCGAGUGGCGAACGGGUGAGUAAUACAUCGGAACGUGUCCUGGAGUGGGGGAUAGCCCGGCGAAAGCCGGAUUAAUACCGCAUACGCUCUAUGGAGGAAAGGGGGGGAUCUUCGGACCUCCCGCUCAAGGGGCGGCCGAUGGCAGAUUAGCUAGUUGGUGGGGUAAAGGCCUACCAAGGCGACGAUCUGUAGCUGGUCUGAGAGGACGACCAGCCACACUGGGACUGUGACACGGCCCAGACUCCUACGGGAGGCAGCAGUGGGGAAUUUUGGACAAUGGGCGCAAGCCUGAUCCAGCAAUGCCGCGUGUGUGAAGAAGGCCUUCGGGUUGUAAAGCACUUUUGUCCGGAAAGAAAACCUCGUGGUUAAUACCCGUGGGGGAUGACGGUACCGCAAGAAUAAGCACCGGCUAACUACGUGCCAGCAGCCGCGGUAAUACGUAGGGUGCAAGCGUUAAUCGGAAUUACUGGGCGUAAAGCGUGCGCAGGCGGUCCGCUAAGACAGAUGUGAAAUCCCCGGGCUUAACCUGGGAACUGCAUUUGUGACUGGCGGGCUAGAGUAUGGCAGAGGGGGGUAGAAUUCCACGUGUAGCAGUGAAAUGCGUAGAGAUGUGGAGGAAUACCGAUGGCGAAGGCAGCCCCCUGGGCCAAUACUGACGCUCAUGCACGAAAGCGUGGGGAGCAAACAGGAUUAGAUACCCUGGUAGUCCACGCCCUAAACGAUGUCAACUGGUUGUCGGGCCUUCAUUGGCUUGGUAACGUAGCUAACGCGUGAAGUUGACCGCCUGGGGAGUACGGUCGCAAGAUUAAAACUCAAAGGAAUUGACGGGGACCCGCACAAGCGGUGGAUGAUGUGGAUUAAUUCGAUGCAACGCGAAAAACCUUACCUACCCUUGACAUGGUCGGAAUCCUGCUGAGAGGUGGGAGUGCCCGAAAGGAACCGAACACAG
rnacentral:rRNA from 1 species